ACACCAGAAACACCACCUGUCACCCCCGAAUAAGCCAACAGUGGCUACCUGCAAUCCUGGGUCCCAUUAACCUCCUCCUGCCUGCUGUGAUAUCCAAGGCAGUGAUUCGUGUACUUGUGGAGUCGAACCAGGCCACAGACCAGCUGUGGUGUUGUCCAGCCUGGGUGAAUGAAGAAACACCACAGAGUAGCUUCCUCUAACUGGGGAGACUUUUAAAGAUUUCUUGUCCUCCACCUGCAAACACCAGCAUCCUGUAUGGGUACCGAUUUGUGUCUCAGCUACUCUAUUCCACAUCCAGUUCUCUGCUUGUGACCUGAGAAAGCAGAAGAUGGCCCAAGUCCUUGGGUCCCUACACCUGCGUGUGAGACACGGAAGAAGCUUCAUGGCUCCUGUCUUUGAGUUGGCUCAGCUCUGGCUAUUGCAACCAUUUGGGAUGUGAGGCA